UUUCCUCGGCCCCCGCCUCCUCCCAGGGUGCUGGCGUGGGUCCCUCGCGGUCCGGCGGCGACUGUAAAUAGAGCCUGGAUGUUGUUUACAUGAAGGAUCCGGCGGGAGGAGCCUGCGAGGAGGAGGAGGAGAAGGAGGAGGAGGAGGACGAGGACGCAGAGAGGAAGACCGGAGUCCCCGCCGCGGCGGCGGGCCAGGGCUAGGGUUCACCUGUUUAUUUUCAUCAGCCAGAGCUUGCAGUGUUUUACGUAGUCUUGAGGCUGUUUCUUUUAUUAGAAACAUUGGGGAUGGGGCCGUAUUGCUGUAAUUUAUGCCGGUCCAGGUCGGUUUUCAAGAAGGGGGAGGGGACUUGGCGGACACCGCCUGCUCCUGGCCUUAGCUGACCCCAGGCUGCUCCCUGCCUUCCCGGGCCAAAGAAUCCUUUCCUUCGCUCAGCCGCCUGCUCGCCAGAAGCCACCUUCUUGGAGAAGGACCACACCUGUGCUUAUUCCCGCUUUGGAGGAGAGGUGAGCCAAGAAACCAAGGAAUCCUGUGUUCCCCCAGAGCUUUUAGCCAACCCCGCAUCCCGGAAUUGGCCAGAAAGUGCUGCUUUCACCUGCCGGUUGCACUGGGCACAUCCAUCCCCUGCCUGGCAAGUAGUGGUCUACAGAUGUGUUGGGAUUUUCUUUUUCCUCUGGACCUGCACCCCUACCAAGGAGCAACUACCUACUGCGUUUAGAUUGAGAGAUAAAGGUUCCUCCCCCCCACACACACACCCCUCUUGGCCCAGUGCUGUUAUUUAUUCCGAACUGGGUCUUCUAAUGGAAUCCUCAGCUGUCCCCUUCCAGUCCCCGUCAUUCUUCCUCUAAGAGCAUAACCCAGAAUCAGGCCUGAGCAGUCUCUGGCUCUCUUGCCCUCAGCCCCACCCUAGCCCCUCUUCCUUUUCCAGAGCCAAACAGGCCUCCCAAAGCAGAAGGCACACCCAGCCCCAAUUCUAACCGUACAAAAGGGAGGAGAAAACAGUGGAAGGGAAGAGACCCAAGGGUGUCCCUUCUGUUGUGAAUAUCCCCCGCAGUGUCUCCCUCUUCAAGUUUCCUAGACCUGUCACACCUUUAUUCUCCGCGGUGCCUCCCACCUCUUUGCCCCUAGCCCUAUGAUAGAUAUUUGGGGAGGUGGGGAUGGUGGGUGGAGAACGAGGUUGUCACCCUUGUUCCCUGGUUUGAGCCAGUUUCCUUCUCCCAGUCUUUUCAUUUCUGAGAUGCUUAAAGAGUGUAAUAUGUAAAUAUGUUCUCGUGCCUAUUUGAACUUGUUUUGUUGCUGGCUAAGGAAUAGCUGGGACUCAAAAGGGGAGAGAGGGGAAAGAGAUGAGUAAAUGUUCCCCCUAAUUUCCACCAUCAGAGCAUCCCUGGAGUUGCCAGAGAGGACCCUUCUAUAAAAGCCAGCGUCUCCCUUCCGUGACAUCACACCUAAGCUCUUCCAACUUUAGCUUCAGAACAGGAAGAAGGCUCAAAAUAGAACUACCUUAGGAAUCCAGCGCCUUUAGAAGAUCAACUUUUAAAUCAGCUGCAGGGGGAACACUGAACUUGGACAUGGGGAGAGAACGCUGUAGUGUUUGUAAUUGGUUCCUUUGGGUAAGGGUGGGGGCAUGUAUAUUCAGAAAAGCUUUUCUCAAGACAACUUAGGUACCUAGACCAAUGAAUGAUUAAUAGGAUGGUUCGAGAUUCAUUUAUUGAAUUAUUCAUGUUUCAUUAUGUCAACAACAAGCACUGUUCAGAAUGAAGUAGAGGGGCUCCUGCAAUGUGGGCUAGAGAGGAUGCUAGAGAUAAAGAAGGUUGUGGGGCGGCGGUAGACUAGGCAGGAGCACUUGGGGUGAAGCACCCAUGGGUAUAGUGACAGCUACUGUGCCUAUGGAAGUCCAGAAGCUCAAUAUAAA